rnacentral:rRNA from 1 species
UUUUGACCUCGGAUCAGGUAGGGAUACCCGCUGAACUUAAGCAUAUCAAUAAGCCGGAGGAAAACCCU